GCCGGGGUAGCUUAGCCAGGUAGAGCGCCCGGCUGUUAACCGGGCGGUCGUGGGUUCAAAUCCCACCCCCGGCGCCA
rnacentral:tRNA from 1 species